UCGCUCCUCGCUCCGGAUCUGGAGGCAGUCUACGGUGUGGGACUCGUCUUGAGGGAGAACAGCACCGUUCUGACACUGGUACUGACUGGACUCUGACUUUGACUUCCAUUUGGAAGCUGGAAAUACCAAAACAACUGCAGGCCCGGUGGGAGCGAGUGCUGCAGAAGGUGCAUGUGGAAGUCAUUGUCGCUCUGUACCGUUUUCUGGAUGCGCAGCUUGAAGAUGUUGGUGAAGUAGCAGGUGACGUCGAAGCCCAGAUAGACGACCGGAUAUCCGAUGCUAAGUCACAGACACAAAGUGAGGCAAAUGAAAUGAGGUUUAGUCAGUGGCGGGCUAUGUGUGUGUGUGUGUGUGUUUGUGUAUACUGUAAGAAAAUGCAUUGUUGAUCUCAGUUUUGUGUGAAUUGCACAUACCAGUGAGCGGCAAAGAGAUGAGAAAGAUUGGCAUGUGAGGUUUUAAGGUCUUUGAGUCGAAGUGAAGCCUCCGUGUACAGGAGAAGAAUCCACAAGGAGACUGUGGAGAUGCAGAUGCCCUUCUCUGAGAAGAACAGGCAAAAAAAAAAAAAUCUUUGGUAAAAAAUAUGGAGAUUUUGCACAUUUUUUAGACAGUCUGGAUGCUCACCUGUGUGCCAAAUGUAAUUGAAUACGACGUAGGUGCUGGCCACAAAGAAGAGCCAGUGCAAAGGAACAAAAAUCAAACAAAAGAUGUCAAGUGUGAAGGCGGCGCACACAAAGACGACACAAAUAACCUGCAAGCACACGAGUUAUGUCGUUAAUAAGAUGCGGUGGCACACUUUGCGUUGAGAAGGCAUCAUUAGUUUUGUUGCAGCCUGGUGCCCAAAAACAUAUUUUGUCAUCAAGCCACACUCUGUACACCUUAAUGAUAAAGCAAAAACAGAAUACAGUUGUGGCUCGAAAUAAAUUACAUAUUUUUCGUCAAGUGGCAAAUAAAACAUUUGAAAUAUUACGAAAACAAAAUUCUUCCUGGGUCACUUUUUUUAGUUGGUUGCCAAUUGUACUUGCAAUUAAAAAUUGUAUUCUCAAACACAAUUCAAUUGAUCAUCAAGUUGCCAUACAAUUUUUGUAAAAAGAAAAAAGUUUAAUUGAAAAAAAAAAAAACCCUGAUUCUGCCCCUUUAUCCACAUUUUUUAACAAAAUGUAAUGGCUUCUUCCUUGGACCACCCCUCUACAAUACUUCACGAAAUUUUGCUUUAUAUUUUUGGUACAAUUCAGAUAACUGUAUCUGUCCUACUAUUUACAGUUUUACAUCAAAAUGAUUACUGAAAAAAUAAAAACUGUGACUUUUGCACAGUACUACAAACAUCUAUAAUGCCAGUAGAUUAUACAUUUGACAGUGUGUAACACAGCCAAGAAUAGUACUUUGUCGAUGCACUGAAGUUGAUAUUAAAAAGAAGCAGGGGGUCCUCACCAGCCCGUGGCAGUGGAACGUCGUGUAGACGCUCCCGAAGAAGAGCCAGCACGGCCACAGGUAUUCCAGACGGAAUUCCAGGAGGAAAUCUGCCAGCAGAACCAACAUCCACGUGGCCAUAAACUUCAGGAAGGUGUACGCGCUGCAAAUAUAUACAUAAAGAUAACAAUGCAUUACGAAAAAUCCAACAGUAGUCAGAUAUUGUACUUCAGUUAUUUCAAAUCAAAGCAGCGAGUAUUAUACAGCAUACAAAAGUGUUAAAUGUAUGAAUUUGCUGUAUGUUAAACAUGCCAAUAUCCUUUUAAUUGGAACCACUUUACCAACAAUGACUCUCUUCAUUUUUUAUUUUUUAUCAGACCACCACAAAGCCCACCACAAGAGCCGCGCUUUCCUCCCUUUGUUCUGCUCAUCUAUAGGCUGCUGUUACCUUCUUUGUUUGGUAACCAUGGCAAUAUUUCAUCUGGAGGAGAGCGAGACAGAGAGGGAGGGAGGGAGGGCCACAGCAUCCUCCCGCACAUACUUUCAAUCGCAAUUGUUUUCAAACAUGACUGUUUAAUUUCUCUUUAAUCUUUUACAAAUCUCAAUAGUGGGGAGUUGAAAGAAUAAGGGUUUGGCUCCAUGCUUAUUAUUUUUUUCUUUCUUUCUUUUUUUUUUUUUAAGUCAUGUGAGAUGUUGUUCCCCAAAAGGAGCAAAAACACAACAAUUGACAUUGGAAAAUACAAAAUAAGAUUAUCUUUCUGAAAAAAAAAAGCCUUGACUUUAAUCAAGAAAAACAAAUGUGAUACACUAUAUUUAAUUUGAACAUUUACAUCAGUUGCACUUCAUUAAAAUGUGUUCAAAUAUAUUAAUUGAUUAUUUUGAGGAAAAGAGGGGAAAAUGAGAUCAGUUGACCACACUUUAAUCAUGUGCAACCAAAAAUGAAGUACGUUUUCAGCGUACUAAUAAUUUGUUUGUUGGAACAAAGCAGUCUGUUUUUAACUGGCAACAUUGUGUGGAAUCAACAGUAAUUUGGAUCUCUUUUGUCCUGUUAAUCGAGGUUAGAAGUUGUUCCAGAAUAGAGAGCAAAAUGGGACACCAAAACAACGUCUUGAAUUUGUGUAUUUAAAAAUAUAGCUGUACAGUAGAGUACAAAUAGGAUUUUAUAAAUUCGUUAUUUCAAUAAUAUAUUUUUUAAUAAUUUUAAUAUUUGCUAUUUUCAACUGAAUUAAAAAAAUAUUUUUUUUUUUAGUCGACGUUUAAUUUUUUUGGAGGGGGGGGGGGCGGCGCGUUAUAAACAAAGAACAAAAUAAUGGCUAAUGUUGUGCAUGGCUGGCAAAACAUGUGACAUUGCAUGGCAAGUAGCAUCCUUUCCGAAUUAUGAAUCCAACUGUUAUGAAAUGGCACGAGUCAAAUGAGUGGCAAUAGAAGCAGGCCGACGGUAACUGAACGCAGCUUUCUUCUUUUUUGUUGUUGUUGUUGUCAUCGUGGACGACGAGGCGCCACGCACGUUCACAAACAAGGACACGAAGGAGGCAGCCAGUGUGGAGGUGACGUGAUGCAGGCAGGUGAGCGGCGGCGCCGGCAUGCACACAAAGACGCAGACGGGCAGCACCACAACAAAAGCAGGCAGGCAGCCGGGCUACCUUUCUGACAGACGCUCGCUUAUUUUCAAUUUCUUCAUCUUUCGCAGCCUGCUCGCGUCCACGUAACGUUUCUUCAUGGUCUCUUCUUCUUCUUUCUCCCUCCGCCCGUCGCCCCCUUGUUCUUUUUUUUUUUUUUUUGUCCUCCACCGCGACGGGCCGCGAAGAAGAGGAAGAGGCGGGAGAGGAGGAGGAAGAUGGGACGUCUGUUUGCUGCGCGAUGAAGAGGAUGCUCACUUGCAACCUGUGACGAUGACGAGGAUGGUGGCGAGGAUGAGGAUGAGGAUGAUGUCUGGGAGCAAAAAUAGGGUCGCAGUGAGCGGCGCUGCUGCGCAUGCGCAGUGGAUGGCGCACCUACAAGCGUUGCAAGCGGGCAAGCAUAAAUGUCUUCCAAACGGUUCCGUAAUGGCUCAACAGAACAAUUAACAAGUCACUUUUGGGGACAUUUUGUGUUCAAUGGCCAAAAUAAAGAAACAUGCACUUGUUAGUUGUCCUGAGACAAAAUGUAAUCGUCAAAUCUUAGUUCAAAUGCUAAAUAGUAAAUACUAGAGCGGCUCCAAUUACCGGAGACAAAUCCCUUGUGUGUUUUUUGGACAUACUUGGCAAAUAAAGAUGCUUCUGAUUCUGAUAGCUCUUGAA